GAUGAACGCUAGCGGCAGGCCUAAUACAUGCAAGUCGAACGGGAUCUGAGGGUAGCUUGCUACCCGAUUUGAGAGUGGCGCACGGGUGCGUAACGCGUGAGCAACCUACCCAUAUCAGGGGGAUAGCCCGAAGAAAUUCGGAUUAACACCGCAUAAUAAUACGCUAACACAUGUUGAUGUAUUUAAAUAUUUAUAGGAUAUGGAUGGGCUCGCGUGACAUUAGCUAGUUGGUAAGGUAACGGCUUACCAAGGCGACGAUGUCUAGGGGCUCUGAGAGGAGAAUCCCCCACACUGGUACUGAGGCACGGACCAGACUCCUACGGGAGGCAGCAGUAAGGAAUAUUGGUCAAUGGGCGCAAGCCUGAACCAGCCAUGCCGCGUGCAGGAUGACUGCCCUAUGGGUUGUAAACUGCUUUUGUUAGGGAAUAAACCUUCUUACGUGUAAGGAGCUGAAUGUACCUAAAGAAUAAGGAUCGGCUAACUCCGUGCCAGCAGCCGCCGCCG
rnacentral:rRNA from 1 species